GACGAAGGGGGCUAGCGUUGUUCGGAAUUACUGGGCGUAAAGCGCGUGUAGGCGGUUGCCCAAGUCGGGUGUGAAAGCCUUGAGCCCAACUCAAGAAAUGCACUCGGUACUGGGUGACUAGAGGACCGGAGAGGAUAGUGGAAUUCCCAGUGUAGUGGUGAAAUACGUAGAGAUUGGGAAGAACACCAGUGGCGAAGGCGGCUAUCUGGACGGUUUCUGACGCUAAGACGCGAAAGCGUGGGGAGCAAACAGG
rnacentral:rRNA from 1 species